UUGAACGCUGGCGGCAUGCUUUACACAUGCAAGUCGAACGGCAGCGGGGGCUUCGGCCUGCCGGCGAGUGGCGAACGGGUGAGUAAUGCAUCGGAACGUGCCCAGUCAUGGGGGAUAACUACGCGAAAGCGUAGCUAAUACCGCAUAUUCUGUGAGCAGGAAAGCAGGGGAUCGCAAGACCUUGCGCUUUAGGAGCGGCCGAUGUCGGAUUAGCUAGUUGGUGAGGUAAAGGCUCACCAAGGCGACGAUCCGUAGCGGGUCUGAGAGGAUGAUCCGCCACACUGGGACUGAGACACGGCCCAGACUCCUACGGGAGGCAGCAGUGGGGAAUUUUGGACAAUGGGCGCAAGCCUGAUCCAGCCAUGCCGCGUGAGUGAAGAAGGCCUUCGGGUUGUAAAGCUCUUUCGGCGGGGAAGAAAUCGCACUGGCUAAUACCCAGUGUGGAUGACGGUACCCGAAUAAGAAGCACCGGCUAACUACGU
rnacentral:rRNA from 1 species